CGCAGGCUGGCCGGGGGGAGGUGGGAUAGAAGCUUUUGGGACACCCUCAUUCUGGUCCAAGGACGGACCUGGUGGCUGUUGUGCAUGGGCAGGAAGAGAGUGGCUGUAAAUGACAAAGCAGAAACAGAUACAUUCCCCAUGCUUCAGGGAGGCCGCGGGAAGAGAAGGGGUGUCAGCCUGGCCCUCGCCCCUGCAUCAGGGAAAGGGAGCAGGACCCUCGGGCAGAAAAGGCCCGAGCGAGGGACACCACGUGGGCAGGGAUCUUCAGCGCCCCCAGGUGAAAUGAUCCACUUCCCCAGACUGCAAUGCCACAAACCCCAGCAGCCACAUGUGGGUUUCUCAGCGGACAGGCUCACCUUGCCCCGAGAGGUCCACAGAGAGCUGCCGGACUUCCUUUCCUGCGGCUAUUUCCAGGCUGUAUUUGCCCUUGUCCGAGUCUUUGGGGUCCAGGAUGUGGAGCCAGAUCUCAUCCAGAGUGGUGCCCGCCCGUAUCCGAUCGCCAGUCUCCAGGCGCUUGUCUCUGAGUGUGACCGUAGGGAAAUGGUCAAGGCUGGCUGGCCACAUGGCUAUGCUGCCUGGAGACCAUGAUCACUUUGUGGCCACGGAUACACAGUUACUAUUACUAUAUUUCCAUUUUUCUCUGGAAAACCUACUCCUCUGACUGCUGAUCCUCACCCCCAACUCCAUCUGAAGACAGCAGAAAUGGUAUGAAACCCAUGUCUCUUCCAACCCCCUAGAAGUGGGCUCUGCUGGGAGGACUGGGCAGGGGGCAGGAGGGAAGCCCUUGAGGGGCAGGUGCUGGGCCCCAUGCAGCCUGGCUAGAGCUCUGGGCAAGGCCAACCUACUUGUGGAACCAGGUGGUUUUCAUGUAGUCCACGUUGAAGUACUUGACCUUGCUGAAGAUGCGGAUCCCCUCCUCGGUUCCCUGGAUUUUCAGUGGGGUCGCAGAGAGGGCUGGGGAGACAGAGGAGGAGGGUAAAUCUUCCCCAGGGACCUCUGGGCAGCGUGUUUUGGGGCCAGCCUGCUUGCUCCUGCCCUGCAGGGCAGUGUGGUGGGGAACGUGUGCUGCGAGGAGGAAGCAGCUUCUCUCCCAGUCUUUGGGUUGGACACUUAACCCACUUAACCCACCCCUGGCAGCUGAGGCUGGUGGGAGGCCCCUUGGAGGCUCUGUGGCAGGCAUCAGGAUGGGGCUAGGCAAAGAGGUGGGCUAGCUUACCUCCGAUCCUGCCCAGCUCAGUGAAGAUGGCAUCCAGGGCUGGGGGGAGACAGAACGGUCAGCUGUGUGAGACUCUCUAGGGAUGCCCAGGAUGGGGAUGUCCUUGGAAAAGGCUGGUGGAGCUCAUGAGCUGUUCUCUGGACACAGGGAGAUCUGCAGGAUGACUUGGGGGUGAAGGGCUCUAGGGACAUGGGGACCUCAUUCAUCUUACCUCACAGAUCAUUUCAUAGUCUCUUGCUCUAGUGUGACCCCCACAGCCCUCCUGGCCCAUCUCUAAGGUCACCAGCUCCUACCUUCACCUUCGAGGUCCAGCAUGGUGUCGUCUUCCCCUCGCUCAUCAGAGACCACUGCUCUGUAAAUUCCCUGGUCCUCUUUGGACAACUGGAAGGAUAGGAGAUGGCCGGGUCAGCAGGGGUUUGGGAGAGAUGGACGGCAAGUGAGGAGGCCUGGGCUGCAGGCCUGGCCCUGACUCUGCGGGACCUCAGGCGAGACCUCCUCUCUCUGGGACCUGGUUCACUCGUCUAGGCUGGUGGUUUCUAAGUGGCUCCAGUGACAGCUGGUUCCUUGCUCAGGGCCUGUCUGAGCCUGAGGAGGGUCGGGGUGGCUGUGGUGACCCCUGCAGUUGGGUUGACAGCACAGACAGCCCUCCUUGCAGAGCUUGUCUGAGCAUGGCACACCCCCUAUCAAGCUGCCCCUGGCCUGGGGGCCCCGGAUGGAGGGACCAUUCUGCACCUUCCAGAAGGAAGCACGGUUGUGCUUGCUUGUGCCUGGGACAAGGGGGCCUUUCUGGCACAUGUCUGUCAGCCCCACACAAAAUCUGAACCCACGCUCAGCAAAGCAAGAACCCGGAGCACUUUUUUUUUUUUUUUGAUGGUGCUGAGAUGGAACCCAGGGCUUUCCAUGCUAGGCAAGCGCUCUGCCACUGAGCUCCGGCUCCAGUCCAGGGGUGGUGCUUUUCAGGCAAGAUCAGUGACCUCUCAUUACACAACACUUCCUUCAGGGGGGUAAUAUUAGCUUCAAAGGUCCCCAGCACCCAGAGCAUCCCCACAUAGUGGGUUUGGGGCGAAGGUCCAAGGCAGAAGCAGCCCUUAACCUGGGGUUUGAGAGACUGAACCCCAACAAUUCUUUCCUAUGUCCCCCUUCCUUUCCUCCAUGCACUGUCAGCUCUAAAGUUCCAGUCAAACUGGGAGCAGGGACUGGGGGGAUUUAUGAACCACGCCCCAGCCUUGUAUCCUUGAACUUGACCCCUCUGAGCCUCAGUUUUCCCUUUGGUAAAACGUGGCCAGGGCUGAUAUAGCAUUGUCCUGCCUAGGAUUUAGAAGACCCCGGGAUCAUUAUUUCCUCUCUAGUAGGCAGCCUGUGAUUUCCCCAGUCCUACGUGGCCCUCAGCAAGACCAUGGGACUCAGCAGCAGGGCAGAGAAAUACAGAUGGGUUAAGAACAAGCCCCGUAACCAGGCACACUCCUGCAAAGACCGUGGGGAAGGACGGGUGGGACAAUCAAACUCCAGGCCCACUCUGUUCUGCCCAGACCUGUCUCACAUGGACACCUCUUUCCUGGAUUGUCAGAGCAGGAAGGAUCAUUGAGAGAGCAUCCCUUCCAACCUGCUCAUCUUCCUGAUGAAAGCUGAGAUCAGAGAAGGACAGCUGCUAGCCUGAGGAUGCACAGUCAGCAGCAUGGCCAGGCCUCGUGCCCAGGCCAAGGAAAAUCAGUAACACAUGUCCUGCCCGAAUUGAAAAUUUGGGUAGUUUUUUUCUUCAAGGUCUUUUUUUGUUGUUGUUAAUUUUGAUUUUUUAAUGAUAUUGCAUGAUGAGCUGGGGGUAUUGUUACUUACUUUGGUGAUUGAGUUUUGAUGCCCCUUAAGAUGUGCACCUAGGACGAGGGCUUCCCUCGCUCGCCCUGGCCCCAGCCCUGCAGGGACUCCCAGGCCGGUGCCCUCAGUGCUGCCCACUUGCAGCUGAGGGCAGGGUGAGGCUGGAGCCCAGUGGGCACCCACCUCUUCAAUGAGGAUACAUCCUUCUCCUGUCUGCGGGUCGUACUGACCGGCUGGCGUCUCCCUUUUCUUGAAGAACCACUGGAAGCGAGUCUCCUUCUUGGUGUUGGUCACCUGGGGAGGGUGGAGCACAAGGGGAUGCCAUCAGCUUUCUCAAGGGAAAACUCAGCCCUUCAGAGUGGUUCCACAAACAUGGCUUCCUCCCUGGGGUCCAAUCCCCCCCACACUCGGUCAGAUCCCAGGGCCCCUUCCUGACGCCAGGAGUCUCCUCUGCAGGACUCUGGAACCAAAGCUUUUGCUAAUAGUGUUCCCUCUGCCUCUAGGUCUCUUCCCUUCUCUAUUCUCCUUGUAAAUUCCUAGGCUUUUUUUGUAUGUGCAUGCGUGUGUGUGUGCAUGUGUGUGUGCACAUGCAUGUGCAUACUGGGGAUUGAACUCAGGGCCUCACACAUGAUCCACAAACACUCUUCCACUGAGCUCCACCCCAACCCAACACUUCUCAUAGGCUCAGUUAGAUGUCGCUUCCUCCAGGAACCUCUCUGGAAGCACCGCACACCCCCAUUGUGACCAAUCCAUUCCCGGCUCAGGUCUGAUCCAGCUUGAGGCAAACUGCUUUCCAGCCGUCCUGGACCAAGGGCUCCCAGAGGCCUGAGGGACCAAGACUGCAUCCUUGUGCAUCUAGUACCUUGCAGAGCACUUGGCACAUAGUAGGUGCUUCAAGUUCCCGGAAUGAAUAUGCCCCUGGAGGAGCCCCCACCCACCCCGUCCUUCUCUGGUUAUUGAAGAGGCUGCAGGGUGCUGAGAAGGACCUCCAGCUUUGGAGUCAAGCAGUGUCAGUUAGAACCUGGACUCCACGGCUAACCCUGCGGUCUUGGGAUAUUUCCCUGAGGUUUUCUCAUCUGCGAGGUGGGGAUAAUAAUGCAUAUUUCACCCACGAUUGUGACAUGGGUGAAAUAAAAUAGUAUGGCAAUGCUUUGGGCAGAGUCAGGCUCCCUGACCCACUGGCCCCAUGGGACCCUGUCUGGAGGUGCUGGGAGCGCUGGCUCAGGGCUGACCCACCUCACAUGCAUCCUCCUGCCUGCACUCUGGGAAGACGACUUGUUUUAGGUUAAGUGGGGUCUCUCAGGGGCCACUUCCCAGGUAUGGGGUCAGUCAAGCACAGGGAAUGGAAUGGGGGAUGGUAGUGGGGUGGGGAGGGACAUCCAGUGGACUUGAGGACAAGCUGCAGGUCCCUCCCCACUGGCAGGUGGGGACUUGCCUUGCACGUUAGCAGCACUUGGCAGUCCUCGGUGAUCUUCCACUGCAAGGGAUCCUGGAAAUAGGGACCUGCCAGAGGAACAGGAGACACACCCACUCAUCCACACGGGCUCGGCCUGGCGCCACCUGGUGGCCGUACGGGGGAAGGCAGCUGGGCGGAAGCAGCGGAAGACCACUGGCGCCCAAGAUGCUGCCCGCACAGGGCGGGUUGGGGUGAAGCAAGAGAGAGGCCUGGGGUGCAAACUCUAAGGAGGAACUCACUCGGGCUGGGGAAGUGCUUUUUGUUCUGGUGCCGGGACAGAACUGGACUGAACCUCACUGGGGUUCUCUCUGGGGUGGGGAUGGGGCUCCUGUUAACACCCCGUCUAGCUGGUCUCCAGCGCGGACCAGUGGCCGAGGUGGACGUCCCUCCAGCACCUCCUACCUUGUUUUCUCUUCCAGUCUCUUCUCUUAGCAUCUGCCUUCCUCAGAAGUUUGUCAAAAUCUGUGGACACACAGGGAGGAACUGGCAUGAGCCCAGAGAAGCGCAGGACUCCAGGGUGGACAGGCCCCAGAACUGGGGGCCCAGAGCCUGCGGGGCAGGGAGG